rnacentral:lncRNA from 1 species
UCCUCUAUUCUUUAUAUCAAAGCACGAACCUCCUGGUGUGAAAGAUGACAAAUAACGGAUUAAUGAUGAAAACCUGGAAGCAGAAGCUGAGCCAAGAAUCUCCAGAAACCAAAAUGUCAAAUGCAGCAGGGGAACUCUGAUCCCUUUUAAAAGUCAUACACCUUCUCCUCUCUCAACCCUGUCUUCCCUCUGUGUCAUCCCGAAGUGCUGAAGAUAAAUUUGAAUGGUGGAGGAUCCUACUUCAACAUUGACCCAUGGAGGGUCUUCUCCUUUUAGAUUUGGAGUGAGAUCAAUAGAGGGCUCUGGAAGGGAUUUCAGAGGCCCUCAUCAGUAG